rnacentral:tRNA from 1 species
GCAGCGGUAGUUCAGUGGUAAAAUUCUCACCUUCUAUGUGGGAGACUCAGGUUCGAUACCAGGCCAAUGUA